rnacentral:tRNA from 1 species
CCUGGUUUUUUCAAACAGUAAAGAGUCUGCCUGCAAUGCAGGAGACCAGGGUUCGAUCCCUGAAUUGGAA